UCCUUAGGAUUGUAUGACAAAUCUUCAAUGAGAUGAAAGCCUUCGUCACCUUCGGUGGGCCCAGAUCUACUGUGUCCUGGAAAAUUGCAUGAUCAGUAGUUCUUCCUUGCCAUCUCAGUACUCUUCUGGAUUCAUGAGUAUGCUUGGGCAAGUCUUCAGUGGGAAGAAGGACUUCCUCAGCUUCAGAGCUCCUGCUUCUUCAUGUUCUGGAAAAGGCCAUGACCAGUGGUUUCCUCAGUGCCUUCUCUACACUUGUCUGGAUUCUUGAGGAUGCUUGGGCAAGUCUUCAAUGAGAAGAAAAACUUCCUCAACUUCAGUGCUCACACUUCUGUGUGUUCUGGAAAAGGCCAUGAUCAGUGGUUUCUUCAGUACCUUCUCUACACUCUUCAGGAUUAUUGAGGAUUCUUGGGCAAGUCUUCAAUGAGAUGAAAGACUUCCUCAGCUUCAGUGCUCCUUCUUCUGUGUGUUCUUGAAAAGGCCAUGACCAGUGGUUUCCUCAGUGCCUUCUCUUCACUCUUCUGGAUUCUUGAGGAUGCUUGGGCAAGUCUUCAAUGAGAAGAAAAACUUCCUCAACUUCAGUGCUCCUGCUUCUGUGUGUUCUGGAAAAGGCCAUGACCAGUGGUUUCCCCAGUGCCUUCUCUACACUCUUCAGGAUUCCUUAGGAUUGUAUGACAAAUCUUCAAUGAGAUGAAAGCCUUUGUCACCUUCAGUGGUCUCAGAUCUACUGUGUCCUGGAAAAUUGCAUGAUCAGUAGUUCUUCCUUGCCAUCUCAGUACUCUUCUGGAUUCCUUAGUAUUGUAUGACAAAUCUUCAAUGAUAUGAAUGACUUCAUCACCUUUAGUGGUCCCAGAUCUACUGUCCUGGAG